GUGCAGCGCUACAAUCGCCUGCACCAGUAUAAAGGUGCUGAUACAGGUAGGGAAGAGGACCAGGCUAUCCUGUAUAAGGCACUUCUAUUCUGAUAUAACAGCACCCACGCUAGGGGUACUGGUGGAGCUAUACUGGUAAUAAUCACACCCCUGCUGAACUGACCACACUUAUACAGACACUGGGAAGAACAAGGCUACACAGUUAAUUCCGGGCACAGGAACACAGGACUAGCAGGGACCUCCUGGGUCACCAAGCCCAGUCCAAGCAGUUGCAGGCCACUCCUUCCAAUAAUCCCAUUUGUGAAUUUAUCAAGCGGAAAUCUCAGCCCGCAGCACUUUGCAGCUAGAUUCCAACACCAGAAGGGACCUCUGUGAUAAUCUAAUCUGACCUCCUGUGUAACAUGGGCCAGAGAACAGCCCUCCACAAAUUCCUAAAGCAGAAGCUUUUAGAAGAAAACAUCCAAUUUUACUUUUAAAAUGGCCAGUGAGGGAAAAGCCACCACAACCCUUGGACUCUACCUGGACAAUCACAGACUGUGGCAGCCCAUCCAGCUGUGUCCAUUCCCCAUCGCCUGGCCCAUAACAUCUGGAUUGCUCCAGAAUGCUCACUUCCUGUUGGCGCCCAGAUGAUGAAAGCUGGAGGGCCCCAGGAGUCAGACAGCCCCAGGACUGGAUAGAGAGCUAAGGCCCAUGCCCAGGGCCCCGGCACCAGGACUUGCACGA